rnacentral:rRNA from 1 species
GAUGAACGCUGGCGGCGUGCCUAAUACAUGCAAGUCGAGCGAACAGAUAAGGAGCUUGCUCCUUUGACGUUAGCGGCGGACGGGUGAGUAACACGUGGGUAACCUACCUAUAAGACUGGGAUAACUUCGGGAAACCGGAGCUAAUACCGGAUAACAUUUGGAACCGCAUGGUUCUAAAGUGAAAGAUGGUUUUGCUAUCACUUAUAGAUGGACCCGCGCCGUAUUAGCUAGUUGGUAAGGUAACGGCUUACCAAGGCAACGAUACGUAGCCGACCUGAGAGGGUGGUCGGCCACACUGGAACUGAGACACGGUCCAGACUCCUACGGGAGGCAGCAGUAGGGAAUCUUCCGCAAUGGGCGAAAGCCUGACGGAGCAACGCCGCGUGAGUGAUGAAGGGUUUCGGCUCGUAAAACUCUGUUAUUAGGGAAGAACAAAUGUGUAAGUAACUGUGCACGUCUUGACGGUACCUAAUCAGAAAGCCACGGCUAACUACGUG